rnacentral:lncRNA from 1 species
GAUCAUUAAGAAAAGAGUUAAUGCAGAUAAUAUCAUACUUUGAUCAGGUAUGACACUUGGUAAGAAUAGAGAAGAAAUGAAUAUGCUCAAGGAAGAAGACAUGACGAGAAAUAUAACUUUUAAGCAACAAGAUCAUAACAACAAUAACCUUUUUAGCCCUCGCUAUAACCAAGAAAAACAAUGGUGGCGUGUGAAAAUAGCUUGUUAUGCUAUGCACUAGGAUGAAGAAUGAAACAAGUGCAACCAAAAACACGUAAAGAGUAGUUAAGAGGGUGACC